GUAGAGAUGUGGAGGAACACCAGUGGCGAAGGCGACUCUCUGGUCUGUAACUGACGCUGAGGAGCGAAAGCGUGGGGAGCGAACAGGAUUAGAUACCCUGGUAGUCCACGCCGUAAACGAUGAGUGCUAAGUGUUAGGGGGUUUCCGCCCCUUAGUGCUGCAGCUAACGCAUUAAGCACUCCGCCUGGGGAGUACGGUCGCAAGACUGAAACUCAAAGGAAUUGACGGGGGCCCGCACAAGCGGUGGAGCAUGUGGUUUAAUUCGAAGCAACGCGAAGAACCUUACCAGGUCUUGACAUCCUCUGACAAUCCUAGAGAUAGGACGUCCCCUUCGGGGGCAGAGUGACAGGUGGUGCAUGGUUGUCGUCAGCUCGUGUCGUGAGAUGUUGGGUUAAGUCCCGCAACGAGCGCAACCCUUGAUCUUAGUUGCCAGCAUUCAGUUGGGCACUCUAAGGUGACUGCCGGUGACAAACCGGAGGAAGGUGGGGAUGACGUCAAAUCAUCAUGCCCCUUAUGACCUGGGCUACACACGUGCUACAAUGGACAGAACAAAGGGCAGCGAAACCGCGAGGUUAAGCCAAUCCCACAAAUCUGUUCUCAGUUCGGAUCGCAGUCUGCAACUCGACUGCGUGAAGCUGGAAUCGCUAG
rnacentral:rRNA from 1 species